GAUGAACGCUGGCGGCGUGCCUAAUACAUGCAAGUCGAGCGAACGGACGAGAAGCUUGCUUCUCUGAUGUUAGCGGCGGACGGGUGAGUAACACGUGGAUAACCUACCUAUAAGACUGGGAUAACUUCGGGAAACCGGAGCUAAUACCGGAUAAUAUUUUGAACCGCAUGGUUCAAAAGUGAAAGACGGUCUUGCUGUCACUUAUAGAUGGAUCCGCGCUGCAUUAGCUAGUUGGUAAGGUAACGGCUUACCAAGGCAACGAUGCAUAGCCGACCUGAGAGGGUGAUCGGCCACACUGGAACUGAGACACGGUCCAGACUCCUACGGGAGGCAGCAGUAGGGAAUCUUCCGCAAUGGGCGAAAGCCUGACGGAGCAACGCCGCGUGAGUGAUGAAGGUCUUCGGAUCGUAAAACUCUGUUAUUAGGGAAGAACAUAUGUGUAAGUAACUGUGCACAUCUUGACGGUACCUAAUCAGAAAGCCACGGCUAACUACGUGCCAGCAGCCGCGGUAAUACGUAGGUGGCAAGCGUUAUCCGGAAUUAUUGGGCGUAAAGCGCGCGUAGGCGGUUUUUUAAGUCUGAUGUGAAAGCCCACGGCUCAACCGUGGAGGGUCAUUGGAAACUGGAAAACUUGAGUGCAGAAGAGGAAAGUGGAAUUCCAUGUGUAGCGGUGAAAUGCGCAGAGAUAUGGAGGAACACCAGUGGCGAAGGCGACUUUCUGGUCUGUAACUGACGCUGAUGUGCGAAAGCGUGGGGAUCAAACAGGAUUAGAUACCCUGGUAGCCCACGCCGUAAACGAUGAGUGCUAAGUGUUAGGGGGUUUCCGCCCCUUAGUGCUGCAGCUAACGCAUUAAGCACUCCGCCUGGGGAGUACGACCGCAAGGUUGAGACUCAAAGGAAUUGACGGGGACCCGCACAAGCGGUGGAGCAUGUGGUUUAAUUCGAAGCAACGCGAAGAACCUUACCAAAUCUUGACAUCCUUUGACAACUCUAGAGAUAGAGCCUUCCCCUUCGGGGGACAAAGUGACAGGUGGUGCAUGGUUGUCGUCAGCUCGUGUCGUGAGAUGUUGGGUUAAGUCCCGCAACGAGCGCAACCCUUAAGCUUAGUUGCCAUCAUUAAGUUGGGCACUCUAAGUUGACUGCCGGUGACAAACCGGAGGAAGGUGGGGAUGACGUCAAAUCAUCAUGCCCCUUAUGAUUUGGGCUACACACGUGCUACAAUGGACAAUACAAAGGGCAGCGAAACCGCGAGGUCAAGCAAAUCCCAUAAAGUUGUUCUCAGUUCGGAUUGUAGUCUGCAACUCGACUACAUGAAGCUGGAAUCGCUAGUAAUCGUAGAUCAGCAUGCUACGGUGAAUACGUUCCCGGGUCU
rnacentral:rRNA from 1 species